CAUUUUUAUAUGAAAGGCCUUUUUUUUAUUUCUCUAUUCCACUCCAUUUAGAUCUAAGAAAGAACCCAAUACAAUGAAAUUCCACUAGUAUACAAAAAAAUAAAUAGAUACAAACAAAAGGUCUCAAACCUUGUUAUAGAAUUUGUGUUUCAAAGAAAAGAAAUAUCAUAUAUAUUCAGCGAAUGAAAUAGAGUCGGCGAAUGAAGCGGAUUCAUUAACAACUCAAUUUACAGAUCAAAAAUGAAAAAAAAAGAAAGCAUUGCCUUCUUUCCUAUACCU
rnacentral:lncRNA from 1 species